CUACAUAUAUAGCAAAAACCCAAGAUUUUUAUUUAAUUAUUCUCAAUAUCUACGAUGAUGAGCAUAUUGAAAAGUCUAGCGAUCAUUUCCGUUCUCGGAAUAUUCUUUAUACCUCGUUAUUCUGAAUCCGCAAUAUCUUGCAGUGUUGUGAUACAGGAUUUGCAGCCAUGUGUGAGCUACUUGACCAGCGGAAGUGGAAAGCCUCCGGAUACUUGUUGCAAAGGUGUUAAGAGUUUAGCGGCUGCGACCACCACAUCAGCCGAUAAGAAAGCGGCUUGCCAAUGCAUCAAAUCAGUGGCCAAUAGUGUUACCGUGAAGACUGAAUUGGCUCAAGCCCUUGCUAGCAAUUGUGGUGCGAGCUUGCCCGUUGAUGCAUCCCCUACUGUCGACUGCACUACGGUUGGUUGAGAUAUUCUCAUUCUCCCAUCGAUCAAUGGUCCAUCUUUUCCUAAGUAUGCAAUUUAAAUCAAUAAUAAUAUAUUUAGGCGAAUGUGUAUACCUACGUACACAUGUUGUAAGCUAAGAAUGCAGGUAAUGGGUAUUCCAACAUAUCCGUCCUCCCAAAAGGCCAAAACCUUGCAUAUCUUUCUAAACUCCUCAAACUCGCAAACCAAGAACGGAACGUGAAACGGUGAAAGCUCAAAACUUGACCGAACUUCUUGUACGAGUGUUGGGCUUUUUCACUAGCUUUCUAAUGAAUGGAUUUGGGCUUCGCCAGACUAAUUUCCCACUUACAACAUUUCUUUGCCUCCGUUUUGAGUGAUCUCAAAUGCUUUUUAUUUUUCUAGUAACCAAGAAAAGCUUUGUUAAUCCGCCAAAUUUGAAGUAACAAUCGUAUUUACC